rnacentral:rRNA from 1 species
GAGUUUGAUCAUGGCUCAGGAUGAACGCUGGCGGCGUGCCUAAUACAUGCAAGUAGAACGCUGAAGCUUGGUGCUUGCACCGAGCGGAUGAGUUGCGAACGGGUGAGUAACGCGUAGGUAACCUGCCUGGUAGCGGGGGAUAACUAUUGGAAACGAUAGCUAAUACCGCAUAACAGUAGAUAUUGCAUGAUAUCUGCUUGAAAGGUGCAAUUGCAUCACUACCAGAUGGACCUGCGUUGUAUUAGCUAGUUGGUGAGGUAACGGCUCACCAAGGCGACGAUACAUAGCCGACCUGAGAGGGUGAUCGGCCACACUGGGACUGAGACACGGCCCAGACUCCUACGGGAGGCAGCAGUAGGGAAUCUUCGGCAAUGGGGGACCCUGACCGAGCAACGCCGCGUGAGUGAAGAAGGUUUUCGGAUCGUAAAGCUCUGUUGUAAGAGAAGACGAGUGUGAGAGUGGAAAGUUCACACUGUGACGGUAUCUUACC